GACGAACGCUGGCGGCGUGCUUAACACAUGCAAGUCGAACGGAAAGGCCCUGCUUUUGUGGGGUUCUCGAUUGGCGAACGGGUGAGUAACACGUGAGUAACCUGCCCUUGACUUUGUGAUAACUUCAGGAAACUGGGGCUAAUACCGGAUAGGAGCUCCUGCUCCAUGGUGGUGGUUGGAAAGUUUCGGCGGUUGGGGAUGGGCUCGCGGCUUAUCAGCUUGUUGGUGGGGUAGUGGCUUACCAAGGCUUUGACGGGUAGCCGGCCUGAGAGGGUGACCGGCCUCAUUGGGACUGAGAUAGGGCGCAGAAGCGUACGGGAGGCAGCAGUGGGGAAUAUUGCACAGUGGGCGGAAGCCUGAUGCAGAAACGCCGGGUGCGGGAUGACGGCCUUCGGGUUGUAAACCGAUUUCGAAUGUGACGAAGCGUGCGUGACGGUAAUGGGUAAAGAAGCAACGGCUAACUACGUG
rnacentral:rRNA from 1 species